rnacentral:lncRNA from 1 species
GGACAAUGGGGGCGGUGUGGGGUUAUGGGGGGACAUUACGGGGAUACGGGGAGAUGUGGGGAUAUGGGGCCACCGUGGGGCCGCCAUAGGGCCGCCAUAGGGCCGCUAUAGGGACGCAAUGGGGAAGGUGCAGUAGCGCGGUGCGGACAGCAGGGGGCGCUGUGGGGUCGCACCUGCUCGUACCAGGCGGCGACGCAGGCCUCCAUGUAGGCGUAGCUGGUAAAGAAGGCGACGACGCCGUCCGGAACCACAGAGCACAGCUCCAGCAGCAGCUGCCCGCAGUUCCGCGUCACCGCUGUGAACGAACAGCGCCCCCUUGAGCCGCGGGAAUCCAAACCGCGGACACGGUCCUCCGAGCCACACAAAAGGUCCUCCAACACCUAGAAACGGUCCUCCGAACCACACGCAAGGUCCUCCAAGCCGCAGCCGAGGUCCUCCAAAUACAGCUGUGGUCCUCCAACCCACGGACAUGGUCCUCCAACCCACGGACAUAGUCCUCCAACCCACAGCCAUGGUCCUCCGAGCCACACAAAAGGUCCUCCAAGCCACAGCCGAGGUCCUCCAAGCCACAGCCGAGGUCCUCCAACACACAGCCGUGGUCCUCCAACCCACACACAAGGUCCCCCAACCACAGCUGUGGUCCUCCAGGCCACAGCCGAGGUCCUCCAACACACAGCCAUGGUCCUCCAACCCACGGACAUGGUCCUCCAACCCACUCCUGUGGUCCUCCAAGUCACAGCCGAGGUCCUCCAACGCACACACAAGGUCCUCCAAACACAGCCAUGGUCCUCCAACCCACGGACAUAGUCCUCCAACCCACUCCUGUGGUCCUCCAAGCCGCAGCCGAGGUCCUCCAACUCACACACAAGGUCCUCCAAACACAGCUGUGGUCCUCCAACCCACAGCCACAGUCCUCCAACCCACACACAAGGUCCUCCAACCCACAGCUGUGGUCCUCCAAGCCACUCCAGCACUCCUC